rnacentral:lncRNA from 1 species
ACUGACGUUUCCUCUGGAGACAAUCGCAGGUGAAUUUCUGUUCUUCGGCCUUCUGUCAGAUGUCUCCUAUCUGUGACACUUCAGUCAGAUGUCUAUUGCUUUCUGCAACAUUGGUGGGUUUCCUUCUUCAAUCACAAUUUGUUGUUCUUCUAACCGUGUUGAGUGCCAAAUGUAAAUGUAACUUUUGUUUUUCUGUGCAAACAAAGAACAGCCUCCUUGAAUGAUCAAAAGGAGAACCUUCUGGCUGGUCUGCCUCUGGGAGCCGAUGGUGUUCGUUCUGUGACUCUGCUCUGGAAUAAAACAGGGAGUGAGGCUUUUGAUCUUUGCCUUCUAGUCUCCGGGUGUGGUGGCAAGUAGAGGGGUUGUUGCUUUGAAAUCUUUGGGAAACAUUCAUCAAAACACAGCCCAGGUGAUUCCAGUACAUUUCUGGGACUUGACCUUAACCAGAAAUGCUGAAAUGUUUUCCACUCAUGACCCCUGUAUUAGUCAGGGUUCUCUAGAGUCACAGAACUUACGGAUAGUCUCUAGUUAGUAAAGGAAUUUAUUGAUAACUUACAGUCGGCAGCCCAAUUCCUUACAAUUGUUCAGUCGCAGCUGUGAAUGGAAAUCCAAGGAUCUAGCAGUUACUCAGUCUCACACGGCAAGCAGGCGAAGGAGCAAGAGCAA